rnacentral:rRNA from 1 species
UUGAACGCUGGCGGCAUGCCUUACCCAUGCAAGUCGAACGGCAGCACGGGUGCUUGCACCUGGUGACGAGUGGCGAACGGGUGAGUAAUACAUCGGAACGUACCUUAUCGUGGGGGAUAACGCAGCGAAAGUUGCGCUAAUACCGCAUACGCCCUGAGGGGGAAAGCGGGGGACCGUAAGGCCUCGCGCGAUUAGAGCGGCCGAUGUCUGAUUAGCUUGUUGGUGAGGUAAAAGCUCACCAAGGCGAUGAUCAGUAGCUGGUCUGAGAGGACGAUCAGCCACACUGGGACUGAGACACGGCCCAGACUCCUACGGGAGGCAGCAGUGGGGAAUUUUGGACAAUGGGGGCAACCCUGAUCCAGCAAUGCCGCGUGAGUGAAGAAGGCCUUCGGGUUGUAAAGCUCUUUUGUCAGGGAAGAAACAGCAGCUCUAACACAGUCUGCGAAUGACGGUACCUGAAGAAUAAGCACCGGCUAACUACGUG